rnacentral:rRNA from 1 species
UGGGGAAUUUUGGACAAUGGGGGCAACCCUGAUCCAGCCAUGCCGCGUGCGGGAAGAAGGCCUUCGGGUUGUAAACCGCUUUUGUCAGGGAAGAAACGGCUUUCCCUAAUACAGAGGGCUAAUGACGGUACCUGAAGAAUAAGCACCGGCUAACUACGUGCCAGCAGCCGCGGUAAUACGUAGGGUGCAAGCGUUAAUCGGAAUUACUGGGCGUAAAGCGUGCGCAGGCGGUCUUGCAAGACAGAUGUGAAAUCCCCGGGCUUAACCUGGGAACUGCAUUUGUGACUGCAAGGCUGGAGUACGGUAGAGGGGGAUGGAAUUCCGCGUGUAGCAGUGAAAUGCGUAGAUAUGCGGAGGAACACCGAUGGCGAAGGCAAUCCCCUGGACCUGUACUGACGCUCAUGCACGAAAGCGUGGGGAGCAAAC